GUAAAAUGAUAACAACCCCUGCACAAAGAUCAUCAAAGGUUAAAGUGAGUGAUCAACAAGACAUCAACAUACGGCAACGUAUAACGUAGGAACACGGCUUAUGAGGAAAAUGACAUAAUUGCCCCUAAGCUUGAAUCUGAAUCUAAAUGAAAACCGAUAUUUUAGCCAGGAAUAAUGCAAUGUAGGCCUAAAACACAUGAUGUUACACCGUCCCCCAAUCAUACUACUUUUUUUAAUUGACUCAAUGUGUGUAUUUCUUUUAAUAUUUUUAUUACUGU
rnacentral:lncRNA from 1 species